AAUGAGAUGGCCGAGGUUAGGCGAUAAACUGUAAAUUUAUUCACGAAAUUAAUUUCUCUCAUUA
rnacentral:tRNA from 1 species